UACGGGGGGGGCAAGCGUUGUUCGGAAUUACUGGGCGUAAAGGGCUCGUAGGCGGCUUGGCAAGUCGGGUGUGAAACCUCCAGGCUCAACCUGGAGACGCCACUCGAUACUGCUAUGGCUAGAGUCCGGUAGGGGACCACGGAAUUCCUGGUGUAGCGGUGAAAUGCGCAGAUAUCAGGAGGAACACCGGUGGCGAAGGCGGUGGUCUGGGCCGGCACUGACGCUGAGGAGCGAAAGCGUGGGUAGCAAACAGG
rnacentral:rRNA from 1 species